AUGCGAUAAGUAAUGUGAAUUGCAGAAUUCAGUGAAUCAUCGAAUCUUUGAACGCACAUUGCGCCCGCCAGCAUUCUGGCGGGCAUGCCUGUUCGAGCGUCAUUUCAACCCUCGCAGCCCAUCUGGGCAGCGGUGUUGGGGACCGGCACCACCGGCGAAGCCCUUAGGGGCCCAGCCGGCGCCGCCCCCGAAAUACAGUGGCGGUCUCGCUGCAGCCUCCCUUGCGUAGUAGCACACCUCGCACCGGAGCGCAGCGCGGCCACGCCGUAAAACCCCCGACUUUCUGAGUUUGACCUCGAAUCAGGUAGGAAUACCCGCUGAACUUAA
rnacentral:misc_RNA from 1 species